GACGAACGCUGGCGGCGUGCUUAACACAUGCAAGUCGAACGGAAAGGCCCUGCUUUUGUGGGGUGCUCGAGUGGCGAACGGGUGAGUAACACGUGAGUAACCUGCCCUUGACUUUGGGAUAACUUCAGGAAACUGGGGCUAAUACCGGAUAGGAUCUCCUGCUGCAUGGUGGGGGUUGGAAAGUUUCGGCGGUUGGGGAUGGACUGGCGGCUUAUCGGCUUGUUGGUGGGGUAGUGGCUUACCAAGGCUUUGACGGGUAGCCGGCCUGAGAGGGUGACCGGCCACAUUGGGACUGAGAGACGGACCAGACUCCUACGGGAGGCAGCAGUGGGGAAUAUUGCACAGUGGGCGGAAGCCUGAUGCAGAAACGCCGGGUGCGGGAUGACGGCCUUCGGGUUGUAAACCGCUUUCGCCUGAGACGAAGCGGGAGUGACGGUAAUGAGUAAAGAAGCACCGGCUAACUACGUG
rnacentral:rRNA from 1 species